GGUCUCAUAGCUCAACUGGAUAGAGCAACCGCCUUCUAAGCAGUAGGUUGAAGGUUCGAGUCCUUCUGAGACCA
rnacentral:tRNA from 1 species